rnacentral:lncRNA from 1 species
GUCAGUAAUUUCUCCCCUAGCAAGAAUGAGGAAGAUGAAGAGCUCGGGUAUCUGAGGGCUGGUGUGUCUGCAUGCGUGUGUGUUUUGGGGGCCGACUGAAGGAAGAGAAGGCUGGAGAGAGGGAACAUGGGUCUGAGGGCACAUCGCUAAGGGGUCAAGAGGCCUAAAGGAGGAGUCUAAGGCUCUCCAUCGAACUUGGACUUGGUCUACAUUAGACUUUAACCUCCAUGAGGCUUGGACUUUCAGGCUUCCUCCCUCACACCGCGGGCAGGUGAGGCGUCUGCUACAGGCCUGGUCUCGCAGAGGGGGCCCAGCGCCCCCCGCCGCCGCCUUCUCCUGGAGUCUGUGUGACAGAAUGGGACCUGUGGGAAAGCAGCACGUCAGCACCCAGCCCCGCUUGCGCGCCAGCAGCUAAUUAAAGCCAGGAAGGUGAUGGCGAUUUUCAACUCAUUCCCGUUACAAACAGCCGACCUUCCUACCGAGUUCAAGUACCUUCUGCCUGGCCUGGAAGAACAAUAUCUCUCUGUCUCCCUCUUCCACUGGCCCUCACCUGCCUUCCCCUGAACAUGCAUUUUGCCUGACAGGAGACAGAGGCAGUUGAGAUGGAGUCUUGCUAUAUGGCCCAGCUGGUAAUGCCUAGAUUCUUGAGUCCCUCCCUGGCUCAUCCCUGGGAGCAGCACUGAACCCCUUGUCUGACACCUGUCUGGAAAUGGAGCCUGCACAUUGACCCUAGCCAUGUGUGGUCUUGUUACUAAGUGUUAGCCAGUGAGAGAACAUACAAGAGGAGGCCCAUGUUGAUUCAGAGGAUGAAUGAGAGAUGCUUGCAGCUUGGUCCAGGAGGCCAGCAGGACCAGAGAGAAGACCACAGCGACACAUGGGGAUGGCUGUCCCACAGGCAGAAAUGAGCAGCCGGGAGGAAGCCCAGGCAGCCAGCCACCCAGCUCCCUCCACAUCGUGGCCCUAGAACGGAGUCUUGAAGAAUAAGAAGCCACAGCUUGUCAGGGAAUCAGGCUGGAAAAAUGUUAUGAGACUGAGUAAGACCAGAG